rnacentral:rRNA from 1 species
CCUACGGGAGGCAGCAGUGAGGAAUAUUGGUCAAUGGACGAGAGUCUGAACCAGCCAAGUAGCGUGAAGGAUGACUGCCCUAUGGGUUGUAAACUUCUUUUAUAUGGGAAUAAAAUGUUCCACGUGUGGGAUUUUGUAUGUACCAUAUGAAUAAGGCUCGGCUAACUCCGUGCCAGCAGCCGCGGUAAUACGGAGGAUCCGAGCGUUAUCCGGAUUUAUUGGGGUUAAAGGGAGCGUAGGUGGAUUGUUAAGUCAGUUGUGAAAGUUUGCGGCUCAACCGUAAAAUUGCAGUUGAAACUGGCAGUCUUGAGUACAGUAGAGGUAGGCGGAAUGCGUGGUGUAGCGGUGAAAUGCUUAGAUAUCACGAAGAACUCCGAUUGCGAAGGCAGUUCACUGGACUGCAACUGACACUGAGGCUCGAAAGUGUGGGUAUCAAACAGGAUUAGAUACCCUAGUAGUC